ACCAGGACGGUCACACUGCUGCUCUCCUGCUACACACAACACAACACAACACAACACAACACAACACAACACAACACAACACAACACACACAGGAAACACGUAGAGUGAAGCUGUGAUAGCACUGAACGCCACACUGACUGACUCACUGAGCAGCUCCGGAGACGAAGCCACACACUGCAGUAACACAGCCUGUGUGUUUCACACGGGGUCAGCUCACACCUCAGUGCUGAUGAAGCCGUUGGAGGAGGAAGAGGAGGAAGUGAGAGAGCUCCCUGUGGUCAGCUGACCUGCAGGACGAGGAAACGAAAGCAGAUAUUUUCAGGACGUCUGUGUCAGCAGCUCCGCGUGAUGAUGCAGGCCGAUCCUCCGCCAGUCCGCGCGCACCUCACCGUGAGUUUGCGCGUGUGUCUGCGUACCUGUCGUGGGACCGGCUGCCGUCAGCGGCGUGGACGUGUCUCUGUGGACAGGUGCUGAUGUGGUCGUCUGCGGAGCUGAAACAGACGAGCGGUGUGAGGUCAGCGUCGGACUCAGGCCGUCCAUGUGUGGUUUAAAGUUGUGCGUUCUGACACACGACACGUCACACGUCACACACGUUGUACCUGCACGUCAGUGUCGUAAAGCACGUGCCUGAGCUGCUUCCACAGGCAAAGAGUCUGACCCCAGAUCAGCAGACACCUGGCUCACAGGGGGGAGCCUCCUGCUGAGGGCCGGGCUGGGUCAGAGGAGGAAGAGGAGGACAUGCAGCAUAUAGAACAUGAUACACACAGGAAGUGGACGAUGUUAGAGGGACAGCAUUCAGAUCCCAGAACAGUGAGUGGACACUGUGUCCUCAGCAGGUUACAGCUGUGAUAGGAGACAGAGCACAGGAGCAAACAGCUGUAUGGAUCCAACAUGGACCUGAAGCAGAGCGGGACAUUAAACACAGUCAUGUGUUGUAAUGUCUCCACCAACCUGCCGAUCACAUGAUCAGCUGAUGAACAACCAGCUCAAAGCUUCUUCAGGUGAACGCUGAGCCUCUCGGUUCCAUCAGUCCCACCGUCUGUGCUGCGUGUUACACAGACUCAGACUGACUGACUCAGAUUUCCUCCUUUCCUUCAUUAAUUCACGUGACGUUUGCAGAAAGACUAUUUCUCUAAAUAAUGUCUAUACUGUUUAUUUUUACCAUUAGAAGUUUAUGUGGAGGCUGAGUGCCUGUGUAUUGCUGCUGUGAUAGCGAAAUUUCCCAGCUUGGGAUGAAUAAAGUAUUUCUAUUCUA